rnacentral:rRNA from 1 species
AGCGCAGGUGGUUUAAUAAGUCUGAUGUAAAAGGCAGUGGCUCAACCAUUGUGUGCAUUGGAAACUGUUAGACUUGAGUGCAGUAGAGGAGAGUGGAAUUCCAUGUGUAGCGGUGGAAUGCGUAGAUAUAUGGAGGAACACCGGUGGCGAAAGCGGCUCUCUGGACUGUCACUGACACUGAGGCUCGAAAGCGUGGGUAGCAAACA